GCCUUGGUGGUUCAGUGAUUGAAUUCUUGCUUUCCACGUGGGAGACCCAGGUUUGAGUCUUGGCCAACACA
rnacentral:tRNA from 1 species